rnacentral:misc_RNA from 1 species
CGCACAUUGCGCCCUUUGGUAUUCCAUGGGGCAUGCCUGUUCGAGCGUCAUUUAAUCCUCAAGCUCAGCUUGGUUUUGGGAGCAGCCUGUAGGCACUCCUGUAACUUGUUGGCGGAACUGCCUAGCUUCAAGCGUAGCAAAACUACUCGCUUUGUUGAUUGGUAGAUUCUAGCCUUGUUUUACUUUUUAUUAGACCUCGGAUCAGGUAGGGAUACCCGCUGAACUUAA